ensembl:lncRNA PDE7B-AS1 PDE7B antisense RNA 1
GCUCUGCCCUCCGUGAAUGGAACUAUAAAAAAGGUUGAAGGGAGCUGGCUUGCCCCUUGCACCACAAGAGGACACAUAGAAGGUGCUGUCUUAUGAGGCAGAGAGCAUGCCCUCCCCAGACAGAGAACCUGUUGGCACCUUGAUCUUGGACUUCCCAGCCUCUAGAACCACAGGUUGUUAAACUGAACCAUCUUGACUGGCCCCAGCCAAGUUUCUUACAGUGGAAAUGGCACAUUAACUAUGCAGCUGUCAUGAGAGAAGUCAGUACUCUUAGAUUCUAACCCAAAAGAAUUCAAAUAUAUUGGAUUUCCUCUCCUGUUCAAUUGGAAUUCAAGGACUUAAUCCACUUUUAAUUACACUGUUCCUGUUGUUGCAUCAAAAGUGGCAUCUAGUGUGGGAAGAACUGUUUGCUUAGAAAAACAUGGAGGGCCAGUGUGGUGGCUCACAACUGUAAUCCCAGCACUUUGGGAGGCAGAGGCAGGAGGAUCCCCUGAGGCCAGGAACUCAAGACCAGCCUGGGCAACGUAGCAAGACCAUGUCUCUACAAAAAUAAAAAAAUUAGCUGGGUGUGGUGGUGUGCAUCCAUAGUCCCAGCUACUUGGGAGGCAGAGGAGGAAGGAUUGCUUGAGCCUAGGAGUUCAAGGCUGCAGUGAGCUGUGAUUGAGCCACUGCACUCCAGCCUGGGUGACAGAGCAAGACCUCAUUUCAAAAACAAACAAACAAACAAAACAGGCAAUCUAAGUACUGGAAGAAAUGUGAGUUGGCGAUGUAAGAAGGAUAGACUGUUCUGAGACUAUGGCGACAACCUGUG